UACGUAGGGCGCAAGCGUUGUCCGGAUUUAUUGGGCGUAAAGAGCUCGUAGGCGGUUCGGUAAGUCGGGUGUGAAAACUCUGGGCUCAACCCAGAGCCGCCACCCGAUACUGCUGUGACUCGAGUGCGGUAGGGGAGCGGGGAAUUCCUGGUGUAGCGGUGAAAUGCGUAGAGAUUGGAAAGAACACCGAUGGCGAAGGCACUUUACUGGGCUAUUACUAACACUCAGAGACGAAAGCUAGGGUAGCAAAUGGG
rnacentral:rRNA from 1 species